rnacentral:rRNA from 1 species
AUGAACGUUGGCGGCGUGGAUUAGGCAUGCAAGUCGGACGCCCCGCAAGGGGCGUGGCGCAAGGGUGAGUAAGGCGACGGCAACCAACCCCACGGCCGGGCAUAGCCGCGGGAAACUGCGGGUAAUUCCCGGCGACGUCGGCCGCCGGCAUCGGCGGCCGACCAAAGGUGCGAUUCCGCCGUGGGACGGGCCGUCGUGGUAUCAGGUUGUUGGUGGGGUGACGGCCCACCAAGCCACUGACGCCUACCGGGCGUGCGAGCGUGGCCCGGCACACUGGGACUGAGACACUGCCCAGACACCUACGGGUGGCUGCAGUCGAGAAUCUUCGGCAAUGGGCGCCAGCCUGACCGAGCGACGCCGCGUGGAGGACGAAGGCCUUCGGGUUGUAAACUCCUGUCGAGGGGGAGGAAGGCCCCGCGAAGAGCGGGGCUUGACCGAGCCCUGGAGGAAGCACGGGCUAAGUUCGUGCCAGCAGCCGCGGUAAGACGAACCGUGCGAACGUUAUUCGGAAUCACUGGGCUUAAAGGGCGCGUAGGCGGGUCAGGCACGUUCGGGGUGAAAGCCCUUCGGCUUAACCGGAGAAGCGGCCGCGAUACGACCGGAUCUGGAGGGAGGUAGGGGGCGCCGGAACUGCCGGUGGAGCGGUGAAAUGCGUUGAGAUCGGAAGGAACGCCGGUGGCGAAAGCGGGCGACUGGACCCCUUACUGACGCUGAGACGCGAAAGCCUAGGGGAGCGAACGGGAUUAGAUACCCCGGUAGUCCUGGCCCUAAACCAUGGGUACUAGGGUAGGGGGACUAGACGAUGGGUUCACAGCCGCAGCGAAAAGGUGCUAAGUGCCCCGCCUGGGGAGUAUGGUCGCAAGGCUGAAACUCAAGGAAUUGACGGGGGCUCACACAAGCGGUGGAGCAUGUGGCUUAAUUCGAGGCUACGCGCAAGAACCUUAUCCUGGGCUUGACAUGUGCGACGCGAUAGUAGGGGGCGGAAACGUUCGGCCACGGUAGCCGCAAGGUACAACCGUGCACAGGUGCUGCAUGGCUGUCGUCAGCUCGUGUCGUGAGAUGUCGGGUUAAGUCCCAGUAACGAGCGAAACCCUUGUCCCUCAGUUGCCAGCACGGUCAUGCCGGGGACUCUAGGGAGGACUGCCGGUGUCAAGCCGGAGGAAGGUGGGGAUGACGUCAAGUCCUCAUGGCCUUAUGCCCAGGGCCUGCACACGUGCUACAAUGGCGGGCACAAGGGACGCAAGCGCGCAAGGCGCAGCAAUCGCCUAAAAACACGCCCCCAGUUCAGGAUGCGAGGCUGCAACCCGCCUCGCAUGAAGUUGGAAUCGCUAGUAAUCGCGGAUCAGCACUGCCGCGGUGAAUGGGUUCCUGAGCCUUGUACACACCGCCCGUCAAGCCACCAAAGGGAGGGCAUCCCGAAGUCGCCGUGCCACCGCAAGGGGUAAGGCGCCGACGAUGAACUUCCGUGAUGGGGACU